UACGUAGGGUGCAGGCGUUAAUCGGAAUUACUGGGCGUAAAGCGUGCGCAGGCGGUUUGCUAAGACAGGUGUGAAAUCCCCGGGCUCAACCUGGGAACUGCAUUAGUGACUGUAUAGCUAGAGUGCGGCAGAGGGGGAUGGAAUUCCGCGUGUAGCAGUGAAAUCCGUAGAUAUUCGGAGGAACACCAGUGGCGAAGGCGGCUUUCUGGACCAAUACUGACGCUGAGACGCGAAAGCGUGGGGAGCAAACAGGAUUAG
rnacentral:rRNA from 1 species